rnacentral:lncRNA from 1 species
GGACAACAAAAGCAGCAAUCUUUCAGCAUACCACAAGGAUGGGCUCUGCUUUGGUGCCAAAUAGGAUUUGUACCACUGGAAAGGAAGUGUGUCUGGUUUGAUGGCCGGUUAGCUGGUGUUAGUCUGUUUAUUUUUCAGUCUUAUUGUCUGUUUCUGCUGGGGUUGUGUCAAGACUUGAUGUGCCCUCUUGCUUUAUUUCAGUAAAAUUAUGUUGAUGUGCGGGCAUGAUGUAAUGAACUUUUGUUUUAAUGAAUAAGUUUAUUAAAGCAUAUAUGUUCUCCUCACGGCUCCAUUCGCAUGCUUCUGUUCCGAAUUAUAUUUUCUCGAUUAAGGUAUGCAGCAAGGUUGGAAGAAACUCACUGAACAUCUUGGCAGCGCACAGCACCAAGUCAGCGAUAUAUUGUACAUGCACUGACCCUUGCCCACCAUGUUCAUGAAAAUUUGAGCUUAAACUUCAGAAGCCCACGCACCGAGUUCUCAUACUGAUCAGGCUCCAACUGAUGUGCAGACAUAUGGUAAGUGGUUUCUCUAUGGUAAGAGUACACCUUGCCGAGAACGUUGAUAUCUUCCUUUGUCUGGUUUCAUCAAUGCUCUUCUCCAGUCAUUGGGUUAUACAAUUGGCUUUGCUGCCAAGACUGAGAUGUAGCCGAGUACGAUAUAUAUGUAGCAUAAAGUAUGGUCUCAAAGUAUGUACACACAGUUGAGGGCAUCAAUGCAAUGUGAUAACUCAAAUAUUUUCUGAACCAUGCCUCUGCAACCAACUCAUUAGUUGCUCCAUCCAGGUCUUCUGUGAGCUGGCUAAAGUAAACUAGCAAAGUACCAUUCAUCUUGCACAGUUGUAUGAUUAUUCAGCAGCUCUUUGUAGGUCAUCGACUAUAGUUCUCUGCUUAUUUAACGGUUGGUCAGUUUUGCUGUCGAGGCCUCCAUGUAGUAGGUCUGGGUUUGGUGGCUCCAUGGUGUGGCCUAAGGUAUUUGCCUGUCGGAUUUCUUCACUGUUCUUCAGUUUUGCAUUUGGUUUCUCACACCUGUUCUUUCUUCUUGGUCAUGAGCAGGUGGAUCUGUCAGUCUGCAUGCUCGGCUCGUUGUGUUCUUGCCUGGCUGGUCGUCGACCCUGAGGUAUGCUCUCCUCUCCGCCUCGCUUCAGUAUCUUGUGCUCAUGCUGCCACUGAAGCUCUGAGCUUCCCUUUUCCCUGCAGUUCUGUUCUCAUAUUCCCCUUCUGCCGCUGUUUCCUCCCACUUAACCAUCCAGCGUCCCUGCACUUCCCGCAUCCGUUCGUCUGCUCGUGUGGUUCUAGUUCAUGCCUACUAUGGAUGUUUGCCCAUGGUGUUGAACCUGCUGCAGUUUGGGCGCCAGGACGUGCUGCUUGGUCAUGUUUUUGUGGUGCGUGUUCAGGCUGUUUGUUGAUAUGCGCCUUUGAAACACUAGAACAAUUCGCUCAUCAUACCUUGAGUUUUGAAGUCUUCACUUUCAGCACUGUAGUUGUACAUGCGAGCUCAUGUUGCAACGCCAUCAGCUGCAUGCUAUAUAUGCACAAUUACUUACCAAAUUGAUAGGCCAUGUUGAUUAUUUACAUUCAACAUAACAGAAAACAAACUGGGCAAGCUUACCUAUCAUUACCUUGGAUGGGUCACAAAAUGCAGAGAUGGGUCACACAGUGUGUCAGCACGAUGCUGAUCCACAAAGGCAACUAGAGGAUUUCCUGGCAGGAAAUCAUAAAUAAACGAGAUAGAAAAACCAAAUUCAUCUUCAGGACAAGUGAAACCAUGACAACAACUUCUGUAGAGAAUGCCUGACCACUGAGGCUACACUUAAUGCCAACAGAAAAAAAAUGAUCCAUGGCUCCUUUGAGAUUGUCUAUCUUUUACAUUUUGUUCCAUAUUCUUCUCAUAUAACAUAGACAAACAAGGUUUUGAAAAUAGAUUAAUAGAACUUCCUUUUUAGGAAUAAAAAAUAGAACUUCUGUCCUGAAUAAGUUGAAAUUCGAGAUGACUGCACCUGCGUAAUUUUUGUUAGGUAGAUUAUCUUUUUUGUGAUGUUUUUGAACAUACACAUGCUUACUAACCCUAAAUCAUUUCUUCUCCUUCACAAUAGGAGAUUUGGGAUUAUACAUGUUGCUCAAGUAUGCCAUGAGGUAUUUUUCUCUCUUCAGUGAUUUACAAUUACUGUCAAUGGUAAAUUUGAGGUUCCAUGGCAUGUUUUGCAUUUUACAUCUUAGGAAAAUUCACAUUGGUAAUUGGAUUAUAGAAGUUUGUGUUGUUGAAUCUGUGGUUGAACUGGCAGGUGUAGACAUCUGAAUGUGUAAUUUUGUGCUUUGUGUUGAUGUAACAUAUAAUCAGGUUUGGUGGUUGCUUAUUCUUUCCUGUAACUGGGACAUGCAUUUUACUUUCACGUAUCUUUCUGCUGGGGUUGUGUCAAGACUUGAAGUGCCCCCUUGCUUUAUUUCAGUUAAAUUAUGUUGAUGUGCGGGCAUGAUGUAAUGAACCUUCGUUUUAAUGAAUAAGUUUAUUAAAGCCUAUGUUCUUCUCACCGGUCCAUUCGCAUGCUUCUGUUCUUUUCUUGGUAUUUUGCAAUUGUUUGAUCAUUUGCCAAUCCAGGAAGAAACUGUCUGUAUCCUAGGAAGACUGAACUGUCACAGGAACCAAAUAGCUGUU